AGAUAAACAAGUUAAAAAAAUGCCAAAUUAUAGAAUAAUGUAAAUUUCUAUAAUGUAGCUGGAAUGGGGGUCUGAUUAAACCAGGCCUACUGGCACCUUAAUGUUAAUUUUGCUUUGGUUUGACAGUCUUUGGUUUGCUCACACAGUAAUGGAAAGACUACUAAAGCCUGGCUUUUGCUUUCUCUUUGGCAGCCCCAGCUGAGACCACUGUGGCCGAAACACCAGGUAUUUAUUCCUGAUCAUAGACCCUACAGCUGAGCGUGGCUGUGCCCCGGCUGCAGCAGCCUCCCCCAGCAGUGUGCAGCCACCCUCCAAAGGGGGACACGAGUUCCUCCCGCCUGUCAGACCUGUGGCAGUUCCUAACCAGCACUUGUGCUCUCUUGCAUGCCUCUCCAGCCCCUGCCGAAACCACCACACCUCCAGCACCAGCCCCAACUGAGACCACUGUGGCCAAAACACCAGUCCCUGAUGAAACCACCACGCCUCCAGUACCAGGUACUGACCACUUUAUUCUGUGUGGAAUUGGUGCCAGGAUGAAGCCUGGCAG
rnacentral:lncRNA from 1 species